UCUUAUCAAAGAAGCAUGAGAAUAUGAAUAUGAAUGAUUGUAAAACUACUACAAAUAAACUCAGAUCCCAAAGCUUUCGUAUGCAGACUAAAAAUCAUCAUCACAAUCGUUAUGACUUUCUCAGUGGAGACUGAUUUUCUUUUCCAGGACUCUUAGAGGAUACCUUCCCUUAGAUAUCAACUUCAGAGGGUGUAUGAAGGGUUUCCAGUUCCAAAAGAAAGAUUUCAAUUUACUAGAGCAGAAAGAAACCUUAGGAGUUGGCUAUGGGUGCCCAGAAGACUCUCUUAUAUCUCGUAGAGCAUAUUUCAAUGGACAGAGUUUCAUUGCUUCAACCCAGAAAAUAUCUUUCUUUGAUGGCUUCGAAGGAGGCUUUAAUUUCCGAACAUUACAGCCAAACGGGUUACUAUUUUAUUAUGCUUCAGGGGUAAGUGUUUGCUUCACCUGAGGAAAUUUCUUGUGAUAAUCAUUUUUUCUACUAAAAUAAUUCUAUGCAUACUAAAUAUGAUUUCCAAUUUCGAUUUUGACUCACUCCUACACUAACAAAAUGACUCAUUUCAAACU
rnacentral:lncRNA from 1 species